UACGUAGGGUGCGAGCGUUGUCCGGAAUUAUUGGGCGUAAAGGGCUCGUAGGCGGUCUGUCGCGUCGGGAGUGAAAACUCAGGGCUUAACCCUGAGCCUGCAGUGGGUACGGGCAGACUAGAGUGUGGUAGGGGAGAUCGGAAUUCCUGGUGUAGCGGUGGAAUGCGCAGAUAUCAGGAGGAACACCGGUGGCGAAGGCGGAUCUCUGGGCCAUAACUGACGCUGAGGAGCGAAAGCAUGGGGAGCGAACAGG
rnacentral:rRNA from 1 species